GUCGAGUGGCGAACGGGGGAGUAACACGUGGGUGAUCUGCCCUGCACUUUGGGAUAAGCCUGGGAAACUGGGUCUAAUACCGAAUAUGAUCAUCGGCUUCAUGGUCGGUGGUGGAAAGCUUUUGCGGUGUGGGAUGGGCCCGCGGCCUAUCAGCUUGUUGGUGGGGUAAUGGCCUACCAAGGCGACGACGGGUAGCCGGCCUGAGAGGGUGACCGGCCACACUGGGACUGAGAUACGGCCCAGACUCCUACGGGAGGCAGCAGUGGGGAAUAUUGCACAAUGGGCGCAAGCCUGAUGCAGCGACGCCGCGUGAGGGAUGACGGCCUUCGGGUUGUAAACCUCUUUCAGCACAGACGAAGCGCAAGUGACGGUAUGUGCAGAAGAAGGACCGGCCAACUACGUGCCAGCAGCCGCGGUAAUACGUAGGGUCCGAGCGUUGUCCGGAAUUACUGGGCGUAAAGAGCUCGUAGGUGGUUUGUCGCGUUGUUCGUGAAAACUCACAGCUUAACUGUGGGCGUGCGGGCGAUACGGGCAGACUAGAGUACUGCAGGGGAGACUGGAAUUCCUGGUGUAGCGGUGGAAUGCGCAGAUAUCAGGAGGAACACCGGUGGCGAAGGCGGGUCUCUGGGCAGUAACUGACGCUGAGGAGCGAAAGCGUGGGGAGCGAACAGGAUUAGAUACCCUGGUAGUCCACGCCGUAAACGGUGGGUACUAGGUGUGGGUUUCCUUCCUUGGGAUCCGUGCCGUAGCUAACGCAUUAAGUACCCCGCCUGGGGAGUACGGCCGCAAGGCUAAAACUCAAAGGAAUUGACGGGGGCCCGCACAAGCGGCGGAGCAUGUGGAUUAAUUCGAUGCAACGCGAAGAACCUUACCUGGGUUUGACAUGCACAGGACGCUGGUAGAGAUAUCAGUUCCCUUGUGGCCUGUGUGCAGGUGGUGCAUGGCUGUCGUCAGCUCGUGUCGUGAGAUGUUGGGUUAAGUCCCGCAACGAGCGCAACCCUUGUCCUAUGUUGCCAGCGGGUUAUGCCGGGGACUCGUAGGAGACUGCCGGGGUCAACUCGGAGGAAGGUGGGGAUGACGUCAAGUCAUCAUGCCCCUUAUGUCCAGGGCUUCACACAUGCUACAAUGGCCGGUACAAAGGGCUGCGAUGCCGUGAGGUGGAGCGAAUCCUUUCAAAGCCGGUCUCAGUUCGGAUCGGGGUCUGCAACUCGACCCCGUGAAGUCGGAGUCGCUAGUAAUCGCAGAUCAGCAACGCUGCGGUGAAUACGUUCCCGGGCCUUGUACACACCGCCCGUUACGUCAUGAAAUUCGGUAACACCCGAAGCCGGUGGCCUAA
rnacentral:rRNA from 1 species